GCCUCACACAUUACUUGAAUCUUACUGAUUCUCAUCACACUAUCUUGUUUGGACCGGAUCAUCCCCUAGACCCAGCCUCUGUCGCAGCUCCAAUCCUAAACGAGUGUGUACUGAACUGCAAUGGAACCAAACCGAUGCGCCCAAGGCCAACCCAAAGACCUUACAGAACUGAAACUUCGACAAUGAAGGACCAUUGGCAGCCAACAAAAAGGAACCGCCUAUCCCACACGGACUGACUGAAAAGCCAACAUACAAUACAACUAAAUUCCACUGAAAACCACGCAAUUCAGUACUCUGAAAAACAAGCACCAAGAACUGCAC